CCUACGGGUGGCAGCAGUGGGGAAUAUUGGGCAAUGGGCGCAAGCCUGACCCAGCAACGCCGCGUGAAGGAAGAAGGCUUUCGGGUUGUAAACUUCUUUUAAGAGGGAAGAGCAGAAGACGGUACCUCUUGAAUAAGCUCCGGCUAACUACGUGCCAGCAGCCGCGGUAAUACGUAGGGAGCGAGCGUUGUCCGGAUUUACUGGGUGUAAAGGGCGUGCAGCCGGGAGUACAAGUCAGAUGUGAAAGCCCGGGGCUCAACCCCGGGACUGCAUUUGGAACUGUGCUGCUAGAGUGUCGGAGAGGCAGGCGGAAUUCCGAGUGUAGCGGUGAAAUGCGUAGAUAUUAGGAGGAACACCAGUGGCGAAGGCGGCCUGCUGGACGAUGACUGACGUUGAGGCUCGAAAGCGUGGGGAGCAAACAGGAUUAGAUACCCGUGUAGUC
rnacentral:rRNA from 1 species